rnacentral:lncRNA from 1 species
GUUUCACAAAAUAGAAGAUAAUGAUUUAAAAAGCGUGAAAUAAAUGAAGACGAUGAAGACUAUUACGCAUUAUUCCUGGAAAUGUGAUUUAGAGAAGUUUCGAGGACGAAAGUUGUUCGGAACGGAACGGAACGAAACGAAACGAAACAGGACGGCAACAGGUUACAUCGGUGGUGAGAAGAGAGUCAACUACCAACUACGACUACGAUGGACUACGACGCCGUUCUCAUAUCCACUGUACGAUCGGUCGACGCACUCGUCUCUCAGCACGCACGCAUACAGAACAUGCGGCACGGCUGGCGUACACGCAACAGAGAAAGAGAAAGAGGAAGAGAAAGAGAAAAGGAAAGACCGAGGGAGAAAGAAAAAAAGAAAUGUUGAGAGAGAGAGAGAGAGAGAGAAAGCGCGUGUCCCUACUACUAUCACCGGCACGCGAACCGGGGAAUGCAAGGUUAUCCACAAAUAUUAGAUACACCUCGAUAUCGAGAAAUCGUAAUAGAAUAGCAGACCUGAGGAACGGGGACGCAAGAUGAUGAUGAGGACGCGCGACAGCAAACACGUAGUCGGAAGAAAUGCCAUCAGUACUAUACGACCGAGGAAUGGAAUCAGAAAAAGAAACAAAC